rnacentral:lncRNA from 1 species
UGGAGUGGCGGACAUCCAUUUCUCUUGUUAGAUGUGUAUACUGGCAACAGAGGGGACAGUGAGAGAAAUUCACGAAGGUCAUGCUCCUAUGUUUCGCGUAGCCCAUCAAUGUAACUGUUGACUUUGUCGUGCACGUCGCAAGCCAUAUGAAGACCGGAAGGUGUUUUGCUGCGAAAUCGCAACAGAAAACGAUUAAACGCUGUACCGCGUAUCCGUGACUGCAACAUGAUCAUCGCACACAGAGUGUCUGCCUCCUGUUUGCCUUCUUUCUUUCUUUCCGGAGGAGGAAGCAAUUGUACCGAUGGGGUAGGGCACAGACUGCCUUUUUCUCUCAUAUACGCUGCACUCGUGGUCCAUUUUUACCCUAACCUAGGAAGAGAAACUUGAGUUUUCCCCAUGUUUCAUUCAGUAGACGCGGCGUUUGCUACCUUGCUUUAUCUUCCAGAUAUGUCGGUCACCAAACAGACGAACACA